ensembl:lncRNA
GAAGCCAGGCAGCAGCAGGGGAAGCAUGUGCUGUGAAUGCUACUACCAGUUACUUUCUCCCUGGAGAGAGAAAAAAAGAAGUCGAUGAUCACUUUUAGCUCAGUCUUUGCCCUAAUCUGAAAAUGUAUUUAAUCUUUUUUUUUUUUUUGUCUUUGUCUUUGAAGAAGGAGGUUGGAGUUGGAUCCCAGAUCACCUACUGAAAGCUAUAGCUGUAGUCACACGGGUUAGUCUGCAGUCUGGAGAGCAGCCUGGCUUCUGCUUGUGAGUCUGGUGGAAGCUCUGGAGAGAAGUCCGUACUGAGGUCCUGCAAAAGACAUGACAACAGAGAAAUGUGGAAUGCUGGGCAGAUGAGGAAUCCAGGUUUCUGAAUUACAUGGAAAUGUAUAGGGAGCAUUACUUUCAGAGCAACCUAUAUGGACAGAAGAGGAAGGCAAUGGAGUAUUGGUACUGGAAUAUCAUCUGCCACUUUGGAGAAUUUAGCACUUACUGAAAAAAAU